rfam:Pseudomonas sp. StFLB209 DNA, complete genome.
GGCCCAGGUCUUGCUAAUACCUCUGUGCAGGUAGCCAACGGCGGUUGCCCCCUUACAUACGACAAAGACGUCGC